UACAAUAUCACGCCACACAAAGAAUAUUUACACAUAAGUCUCCUUAAAUCUAAAGUUUAUAGAUUUUAAAAGUAAGACAAAUUAUCUAUUACAACAAGUGAAGCAAACUUUUUAUACUUUCGGUAUAAUUAAACUCUUAGAAGAAUCUUUACACUAUCAUAUCACUUAAAAGAUAACAAGUUUAAGCUGUAUAUAUCAGAGCGUACAAAUAUUUUUACUUAAAACUCAACAACUCUAAAAUAACUAAACGUAAUGUACAUAAAAAGUUGAAUUACUUUACAGAAUAUACAACACGAUUAAAAAAAAUGGAAAUCUAAUCAACAUUAAUGAUUUAAUUACUUACUUCAACCACAAGAAGGUAACCAUCAUCCUCUUUGGUCCCUCUUGGAAUAAAAACAGGUUCACCAAUGAAUCUUCUUCUACCAGCUGACCACUUUUGAACUGAUUUAUCAGCAGUGUUUAGUUUCACAAUUGUGUCAAAUGGAAAAUGUGGCAGUGCUUGACGUGAACCUGAAGAUGUUGCUGCAUAAACAUAUGUAUUUUUUCUGCCUGAAAACUCUGAAUUAAUUGCUGGAAAAUCUGCUGCUUUGUCCCGUCAUCUGAUUUAUUAUCUUUAUGGUUUGCAAACUUUAUGCUUCCGCAUGACGCCCUCUCGAUUUCGAACAGAACGUUGGAACAAUAUAAAGUCCAUUAUAGAAUUAUAGUUUAUACAACUAAAUGCUUACAUCUGAAAUAAAAGAAUCGACAUUGUUGGAACUCUUGUGGAUUCUAGUCUAGUAUACCAAUGAACUAUUUUACAAAUAAUCCUAUUAAUUUUCUGAACACUUUUGACUAAGCUACAUAUUUUUGGACAUGUAAAUCAAAACAUUCUUUAUUUAAUUUAUUCUUCAUUGCCCAAGUUUAACCAUUUUAUCCUCCAUCAUUGACCAAGAAUCUUGAAACCUGGAUCCAAUUUUUUGUAAAUUGCCUAGGCCAGAAUUGUUAGGAGCCCAAAAGCCAUGAAAACCAAGUGGGAAAUUCAAAUGUCUUGGGACUUCAAGUCUAGCAACCACUUCAUUCUUUUCUCCAAUUCGUUGUGCAUCCAAAAUUACAAGAUAACACCUUUGUGUUGACACUGCAUACUGCAAAAUUAAAUAUUCACAUACAAAAUCAUUACAAUAGAAGUAAUGCUGAGGGGAAAAAAUGAAGAAUUUGCGCAAUUUCUUUUCUAAGAAAGAGAUCAUUGUGACUCACGGCUCUUUCAAUCGGUGUAAUGGACGGCUUUGUCGUGUACCAAAUAGAGAAUUUGGGUUGAAUUAAUUCUACAAUAUCACGCCACACAAAGAAUAUUUACACAUAAGUCUCCUUAAAUCUAAAGUUUAUAGAUUUUAAAAGUAAGACAAAUUAUCUAUUACAACAAGUGAAGCAAACUUUUUAUACUUUCGGUAUAAUUAAACUCUUAGAAGAAUCUUUACACUAUCAUAUCACUUAAAAGAUAACAAGUUUAAGCUGUAUAUAUCAGAGCGUACAAAUAUUUUUACUUAAAACUCAACAACUCUAAAAUAACUAAACGUAAUGUACAUAAAAAGUUGAAUUACUUUACAGAAUAUACAACACGAUUAAAAAAAAUGGAAAUCUAAUCAACAUUAAUGAUUUAAUUACUUACUUCAACCACAAGAAGGUAACCAUCAUCCUCUUUGGUCCCUCUUGGAAUAAAAACAGGUUCACCAAUGAAUCUUCUUCUACCAGCUGACCACUUUUGAACUGAUUUAUCAGCAGUGUUUAGUUUCACAAUUGUGUCAAAUGGAAAAUGUGGCAGUGC
rnacentral:lncRNA from 1 species